rnacentral:ribozyme from 15 species
ACGAAGAGAAAGGUAGAAAGAGCAUUGAAGGAAAAGAAUAAAGAUAAAGACUUUGCAGAUAUCUUGGGAGAGCUUCUUUUUACUGUUGGACUUUAUGUUAUCCUUUGCUCUUUGUUUAUCCUUAGGUG